rnacentral:rRNA from 1 species
AGCCAGACUCCUACGGGAGGCAGCAGUGGGGAAUAUUGCGCAAUGGGCGAAAGCCUGACGCAGCGACGCCGCGUGAGGGAUGAAGGUCUUCGGAUCGUAAACCUCUGUCAGCAGGGAAGAACGGUCACUGUGCUAAUCAGCAGUGAAUUGACGGUACCUGCAAAGGAAGCACCGGCUAACUCCGUGCCAGCAGCCGCGGUAAUACGGAGGGUGCGAGCGUUAAUCGGAAUUACUGGGCGUAAAGGGUGUGUAGGUUGACGUGUAAGAUAGCGGUGAAAUCCCAGAGCUCAACUUUGGAAUUGCCAUUAUAACUAUGCGUCUAGAAUUAUAGAGAGGAUAGCGGAAUACCCAGUGUAGAGGUGAAAUUCGUAGAUAUUGGGUAGAACACCGGUGGCGAAGGCGGCUAUCUGGCUAUAUAUUGACACUGAGACACGAAAGCAUGGGGAUCAAACAGGAUUAGAUACCCCCGUAC